UCACAUGUUUACAAGAUGAAAAGCAACAGUUCAAAUACAACUUGAUUGCUCUUUUUUUCACCUUUUUCAAUUAUUCUUUAGAUCGCUGGAGGCCAAGACUGAACAAGAGUCCAAAGGAGCUUCUCCCAAAGAGUGCUUCUCUCCUCCUCCCUCCAUCAUCUUGGGAGGCAGUCGGUACCAAUCCAGAGAACCAAGCUUCUGCCAACAUGUCGGCCAAGGUUCGGGUGGCGGCCGUACAGGAUGGGGUUUCCAACUGGACCGAAACCACCGGAGAGGGCCCUGGCCGAGGGAGCGGGCUGGAGAGAGCCCCUGUGGUCCUGCCGCCGUUCCGGAGAGGCACACGCAUUCCAGCAACCACAACCAGGCGUUUAGCUCCUUCUGCUGAGAGGAAAAUAGGUGGGUGGUCAUUUUGACUGGGAAAAUUCUUUGUCAGUUCUGACCCUAGGGUUUUGCGAAGGGGCUCUGGGGGAGUAUUUUCAGGAAAACUAUUUCCAAGAGGAGCCCCUUGAGUGUCGUGGGGAGCAGAGGAAAGGAAGUGAACUCGCUUCUCUAAAAUUAUCCUGAAAGCUGGAUUCGCAGUGCCGUAACUUUGCCCGUAAUUGGAAAGACCAUCGCAAAGUGGAGUUUGCUUUAGUUGACAUUGACUAAAGCUUUGCACCCCAUUACCAUGGAAGGUAUCGGACGGUGGGCGACCAUCUGAGCAAAUGGACAAUUCUCCCAGGGCAUUACAGAGCACUUUUUUCAGAUGAAGGAAGAGGAAAUCCGUACCCUAUUUGAAUUUUCAUUUUGAGAUUUUGGUGGGUCUUGCCCCCAAGAGAAAGAACAAGGUGCCAAGUUCUUUGAACGCCACCUUUCUGGCCUUUUCCCCUUGGAAAAUAGCCAUUGGUUCAGCCUUCCUUUCACCCAGGACUCUCAAUUUGUGAACUCCAGCAGCACAAUCACCACUGUUAAACAGUUUUUACCCAAGAGUUACACGAGGUUACAAUUUAGCAAUUUCAAGAACUCUGUUACCGCACUUUAAUCAUGCGAGUAUUUGAUCUUCAGGGAUUUCAGUUUCUGUCUUGCCCUGCUAAGAUAAAAUUUAUCACCAAGAUGGAAGUGAGAAGAUUUCCAAUGUUGGCACCUCGGCGAUCAUUAAGCCAGGCUCAUCCUUACACUCAGAGGUCCUAGUCAGAGGGCAGAAAUGUGGGGCCAUUGGUGGAAAUGGAAAGAAUUUACUCUAGGAACUCUGACUGUACUACUGUGAAAUCAUUUGCAUAGAGCGAAUUGUUUGUGUGUGUCCCCGCACACUCCAACACGAUCUGGAGCCAGAGGGGCCAAGGAGAGUCUUAUUAUUUCCGGAGUUUAUUAACCUACGUGGAAGCAGAACAGUUAGAAUCUUUGUGCCAGCUCUCUGGUAUGGCAAGACUGAAUGUACAUUCAAUCAUGGGAGGCCUUGUUUGAAAAUUCUUGACAGAAGCCUGAGACUUUUGAAGGACAAAUUCCAAAGACGACCCCCGUCCCCACGCACACUCCCCCCAACCCCUGUCUCCCCACUCACAUACAGACACACACACACACACACACACACACACACACACGAUGGGUUGUGUUGGGAUUCAGAGUUGGCAUAUGCUUGAGAUUUGAGCCAGCUUCCUCAUCCUACAGUCACGCAAGGCCGACGUCCCAAGGUUAUAAAAGCCUUAGUUAAACUCCUCUCCUGUCCAGGUCUACAGAUUAUGUCUCAGAAAAUAUUUCUAUUGCAUGGUUGAUAUAAAUGUUGAAUCUACGUAUUUACAGUGGCAUCAGAAUUUAACCAUAAAUUUCUCAUUUAUCGUUCCUGUUACUCCCGAUUCCUCUGCACUGUAGAUUCACAAUGCUUUCCUAGCUGUUUUUUAACCAUUUAUAUGUGUUGUUAGGUUGUGGUUUCUUAUAUAACCAGUUGUCUUAUUGAUAGUCUCACCUCUGUGGUAUUCAUUUACUCAAAAAGAGGAAAGAAAAAUCUUGUUAUUUUCAAGUGACUGUAAAGGGCAGAGAAAAAAACCCAAAAUUUCAAAAUUUCCGUUUAAGUCACAUUCACAAGAAAAAAAAAAACGCUACAAGAAAAUCUCUGUGAUUAGCAAGAAAAAAAAAGGAUUAAUAGAAGAGGUUUGUGGCUUUGAGACAGUGUUUUUUUUUCCCUGUAUAAAAGCGAACUUGUUUUUUGGUACUUUAGUAUUUUUCUCAAGCUGACCUGAUCUUUUUCUGUCAGUCUUAAGAGGUGAGUGAUUUCUCUCAAAAAUAUUUGUUCAUAGAAGGGGAGGGCAGAAAAGAGGGAGAGCUGACAUAUUUACUAAAAUCUGAUGUAGAUGGAUUUUUCUGCAAUUGAAAUUGAGGAAAGUAAACUUAUUAAAUACAUAUUUAUGCAUAUAAGUAUAAUGUAUGCCCAAACUCAGUUUGAAGCUCCUACCUUUUAUAUUUCUACCCAGGAGGAAUUUGGUCCAGGGACUUGUAAUUUGAAAAUUGAAUUUUGAUGUUAUUUUUACAGAGUAAAGUUGAAAAGUUAUUCAUCUGAAUAGUUAUGUUUAGUGUUCUAGGACUUUAAAAUUUGUUAGUACAUGCCCUUUAAAUGAUGGAAGCAAUUUUACUGUGGUCUAGUUUAAGAAUUUUCCAUAGUUUCACAUAUAUUAUACUUGCAGAAACUUAUAUUUUAAUAACGAGAAGGAAUAUGUAUCUAUGUACACAUGUACUUUCUUAUCUUAGUUCUGUAAAUGAUCCUCUUUUGUCAAAAAAAGUUCAGCUUUCAUUAAUAAAAUUAAAACUCCCAUUUAUAUCUUAAUAAAAUGCAAACUGAUUAGCUAAGA